rnacentral:rRNA from 1 species
UACAGAGGUCCCAAGCGUUGUUCGGAUUCACUGGGCGUAAAGGGUGCGUAGGCGGUUGGGUAAGUCUGUCGUGAAAUCUCCGAGCCUAACUCGGAAACUGCGUCGGAUACUAUUCAACUCGAGGAAUGGAGGGGAGACUGGAAUUCUCGGUGUAGCAGUGAAAUGCGUAGAUAUCGAGAGGAACACCAGUGGCGAAGGCGAGUCUCUGGACAUUUCCUGACGCUGAGGCACGAAAGCCAGGGGAGCAAACGGG